CUGGAGAGGGCCCCGGAGACCCCCGGCCUGGAGCCGGGCGGGGCCCGGGCAGCAGGACGUCGUCGCGGGGACCUGAAGGUCAGUCAGGACAGGCUUAGAUCCAACGGGAGGUGGAUGUGGACGUUCCAGGGCUCGUUCACGUGGAGGGUCUUGAUGCAGGACCCCCUGCGUCCCCUCCGGGCGGGAGCCCGCAGCCGUGGCGGAGGUGGAAGCGGCGGCCGGGGGCGGGGCUUAGGGCUGAGCCCGGGGUCCUCGAGGAAGGGGCAGCUCAGGUGGCUGUCCCACCCCUUGGGGCCGAGGUGGGGCUGGGGGCCAGGGCCUUCAGUCCUAUCACAGGGCGGCGCCAGGCAACCUGCAUGGGCAGCCUCCCUGGGAGGCGGCAGCGGGACCGGAGGCAGGAGCCUUGCGGUCUCCAGGCAGCGUCAGCAGCUCCCUGCAAUGGUGGCCUAGCAGAGGUGGGCCAUCCAGUCGGGUCAUCUGGUGAGCAGGGCCUGGAGGCCCGGGGUCCUGGGUGUCUUCUGUAGCCCUCCCUCAUCAACUGCCAUGGAAUCCAAAGCUCUGGGCUUGGCCGUUAAAGGGCCAGUCCUCCGCACCCAGCUCUGCCUGCUGCGAGGAGCAUCACAGCAUCCCUGCCGUGCGGUCUGCUCCUUGGUCACCUCCCAGCAAGCCCUGAGAAUGCUGUUCCUGACGAAAUAUGUACCACUAGGUGGCAAAAUACGGUUUUCAAAAGCUUCAAGUCCUAUAACAAGGUGAUGCUCUUAAUUUCAGUUCUGCCACUUCCAUAGACCCUUGCUGACUGGUCCUGUUGACACAGGUUGCUCUCUCGCUUUUCAUUCAUCCACUUAUCCAGCCAUGCAUCCACAUACCCACCAUCCAUGCAUCCAUCAAUCCAGCCACCAUCCAUUCAUCCAACACCCCCCCACCAUGCACACAUUCAUCCGUCCAUCCACCCAUCA